UAAGUCGUAACAAGGUUUCCGUUGGUGAACCAGCGGAAGGAUCAUUA
rnacentral:rRNA from 1 species